rnacentral:rRNA from 1 species
GACGUAGGGCGCGAGCGUUGUCCGGAUUUACUGGGCGUAAAGAGCGCGCAGGCGGCUGGUCAAGUCCGAUGUGAAAUCUCCCGGCUCAACUGGGAAACUGCAUCGGAAACUGAUCGGCUUGAAGAUGGGAGAGGGUAGUGGAAUUCCCGGUGUAGUGGUGAAAUGCGUAGAUAUCGGGAGGAACACCAGUGGCGAAGGCGACUACCUGGCCCAUUCUUGACGCUGAGGCGCGAAAGCUAGGGGAGCGAACGGG